rnacentral:rRNA from 1 species
CCUACGGGUGGCAGCAGUAGGGAAUCUUCCACAAUGGGCGAAAGCCUGAUGGAGCAACGCCGCGUGGGUGAAGAAGGUCUUCGGAUCGUAAAACUCUGUUGUUAGAGAAGAAAGUGCGUGAGAGUAACUGUUCACGUCUCGACGGUAUCGAACCAGAAAGCCACGGCUAACUACGUGCCAGCAGCCGCGGUAAUACGUAGGUGGCAAGCGUUAUCCGGAUUUCUUGGGCGUACAGGGAACGCAGGCGGUCUUUUAAGUCUGAUGUGAAAGCCUUCGGCUUACCCGGAGUCGUGCAUUGCAACUGGGAGACUUGAGUGCAGAAGAGGCGAGUGGAACUCCAUUUGUAGCGGUGAAAUGCGUAGAUAUAUGGAAGAACCCCAGUGGCGAACGCGGCUCUCUGGUCUGUACCUGACGCUGAGGUUCGAACGCGUGGGUAUCAAACAGGAUUAGAUACCCUUGUAGUC